UACCAUUUGGAAACAGAUGCUAAUACCGGAUAAAAGCUACUUUCGCAUGAAAGAGUUUAAAAGGACGGCGUAAGCUGUCGCUAAAGGGAUGGACCUGCGAUGCAUUAGCUAGUUGGUAAGGUAACGGCUUACCAAGGCGAUGAUGCAUAGCCCGAGUUGAGAGACUGAUCGGCCACAUUGGGACUGAGACACGGCCCAAACUCCUACGGGAGGCAGCAGUAGGGAAUCUUCCACAAUGGACGAAAGUCUGAUGGAGCAACGCCGCGUGAGUGAAGAAGGUUUUCGGAUCGUAAAGCUCUGUUGUUGGUGAAGAAGGAUAGAGGUAGUAACUGACCUUUGUUUGACGGUAAUCAAUUAGAAAGUCACGGCUAACUACGUGCCAGCAGCCGCGGUAAU
rnacentral:rRNA from 1 species